rnacentral:misc_RNA from 1 species
GAGAAAAAAAAAUGGAGGAAUUGGAGAAGAAGAAUAUUACUAGUAUGAAGGAAGAAGAAGCAGAAGAAGAAAUUGAUAAUAGUUUUGUACCUGUUUAUCACUCUUUUGCUUCUAAAAGUUAUCAUUCUCACCUUGUUUCUGAUGAUUAUUUGUCGAUUUUAGCAUCCAAAGAUGGCGAUUUUCUCCUUUCUCCCACCGGAGCUCAGGUGAAAGUUUCGGAACUUGAGGGCAAAGUUGUUGGCCUUUACUUUUCAGCUAACUGGUAUUCACCAUGUACGAAGUUUACAAACCUGUUAGUCAAUGUGUAUCAGCAGCUUAAGGAAUGCAGCAAUAUCAAUCUCGGUUUCGAAAUCGUCUUUGUUUCGUCUGAUGAAGACUUAAAUGCCUUCAAUUCUUAUAGGUCAUCAAUGCCUUGGCUUGCAAUUCCUUUCUCUGAUUUGGAAACAAGGAGAGCCCUUACCCAAAAGUUUGAUGUCGAAGGUAUCCCUUGUUUGAUAGUUCUACUACCUAACGAUGACAAAUUAGACACUGCAGUUAUUAAAGACGGAGUUGAACUCGUGUAUCGAUAUGGAGUCCAAGCUUUUCCGUUUACCAAAGAAAGGUUGGACGAGUUACGAAAGAAGGAGAAGGAGAAACGUGACAACCAGACAUUGAGCAGUUUGCUAACACACGAUGCCAGAGAUGUUCUUUCGGGGCAUCCUAGUCCUAAACAAGUGUCUGUUGCUUCUUUAAAGGGGAAAACAGUUGGACUUUACUUCUCAGCUCAAUGGUGCAAUCCUGCGAAAAAAUUUACUCCGAGGUUAAUUUCAGUCUACAAAAAGAUUAAGCAGCAGCUAGAGGGAAAGGAUGAUGAGGAUUUCGAGAUAGUGUUCGUAUCAAGUGACCAUAACCAAGUUGAUUUCACAACGUAUUUUGAGACCAUGCCCUGGCUAGCAAUCCCAUUUGAUGAUCCAACAAUCAAAGCUCUAGCUAAGUAUUUUGAUAUCCGAGGGAUUCCGAGCCUAGUGAUAUUGGGCCCUGAUGGUAAAACAGUGACCAAACAAGGUAGGAGCCUCAUCAACUUAUACAAAGAGAACGCUUACCCAUUCACAAAGACUAGAAUAGAUAUAUUAGAGAAGCAAAUGGAUGAAAUAGCAAAAGGCCUUCCUAAGACAGAGAACCAUUCGGGCCAUCGACACGAGCUCACUUUAGUACCAGAGGGCCAUGGGGGUGGAGCUUUUAUCUGUUGUGAUUGUGAUGAACAGGGCUAUGGAUGGGCUUACCAAUGCCUUGAGUGUGGCUAUGAGGUACAUCCCAAGUGUGUGAAGCCCGUGCGCCACGACCCAGAAAACUAAUAUAUUGGGCUGAUCUUAGGUUCUUACAUGUUAUAUGUAGAGAUAAAUAGGUAAAAGGAUACCAUGAUGUAUAAUUGGGUAUAAAUCAUGUCUUAAUGACAUGUUAUUGUGAAUUUUUAAUGGGCCUUUGUUUAUGGAAUUCACAACUUGUAGUUGUUGGUUUGAGAAGUCAUCAGAUAUGAGCCUUAAGAAAAUCACAAA